rnacentral:misc_RNA from 1 species
UUCCUCCUCCAUUUCUUUUGAAAAUCUCUACCCACCGCCACAUACUUCCUCAUCCCCAUCUCUUCUUUCUUUCACAAAUCCUAUUUUCUUCUCUACCUGCCUCCUUACCUCUUCUCUUGCUUGCCUGAUUUUCAUCUCUAAUUUUCCAUUUAGUGCCGCAGCACCGCAAAGCUCUUUAACACGUUUGGAUUCACCCCUUUUUACCCGAAGCAUCGCACAGACAUAAUAUUCUUUUUCAGAGAUUAGGGUUGUCAUGCCAUAGCACAACAGCACCAUGGCUUCUCCUUUUCUUUUUCCUUUACUUUUUUAAUUUAUUUUCUGCUACGUUAUAUUGUUUUAAAUGAUUGUGAUUUUGAGGUAAUGAAUUUUUUUUUUUAUCAAUUGGGUUAAUGGAAUUUUGUUGUUCUUGAUAUUACAUUGUGGAUUUGUAAAUGAUUUUAGGUUGCAGGUGAUCUUUAAUGGUUUAUGAUUGAGAUAAUCAUUAAAUUUAGCUGUUUCAUUACCUUCUGCUAUUUUAUUUGUUCCCAAUUUUAAAUGAGAUUUAUUUUGAUUAUUGA